AACGAACGCUGGCGGCAGGCCUAACACAUGCAAGUCGAACGCUCGUAGCAAUACGGGAGUGGCGCACGGGUGAGUAACGCGUGGGCACCUGCCCGGUGGUCCGGAAUAACCGCGGGAAACUGCGGCUAAUACCGAAUACGCCCUUAGGGGGAAAGAUUUAUCGCCAUCGGAUGGGCCCGCGUAGGAUUAGCUAGUUGGUGAGGUAACGGCUCACCAAGGCGACGAUCCUUAGCUGGUCUGAGAGGAUGAUCAGCCACACUGGGACUGAGACACGGCCCAGACUCCUACGGGAGGCAGCAGUGGGGAAUAUUGGACAAUGGGGGCAACCCUGAUCCAGCCAUGCCGCGUGAGUGAUGAAGGCCUUCGGGCUGUAAAGCUCUUUUGGCGGGGACGAUGAUGACGGUACCCGCAGAAUAAGCCCCGGCUAACUUCGUGCCAGCCGCCGCGGUAA
rnacentral:rRNA from 1 species